CGUUGUGUAUAGUGGUUUAAUUCUUGGACUAGGACUCUGGGAGAUCAGGGUUCGAAUCCCUGCUCAACUG